CGAGGGGGGGGGUGUUAGGGUCGGCAACGCGCAUGUAACUCCUCUGGAGUUGCAGGUGUACGUAGGCUAUGGAGACUGCUUAACAUCAGGCGGGCCGUAUGCUUGUUUGCCACCGACGUAGUAUAAAAAAAAAUUAAACUGACAUUUACGUCCCAUGACUGGUGCCGUUA